rnacentral:rRNA from 1 species
GUGUCAGCAGCCGCGGUAAUACGAAGGGGGCUAGCGUUGUUCGGAAUUACUGGGCGUAAAGCGCGCGCAGGUGGUCUUUCAAGUCAGUGGUGAAAGCCUGGAGCUCAACUCCAGAACUGCCAUUGAAACUGCAAGACUCGAGUACGAGAGAGGUGAGUGGAAUUCCCAGUGUAGAGGUGAAAUUCGUAGAUAUUGGGAAGAACACCAGUGGCGAAGGCGGCCCACUGGCUCGUAACUGACGCUCAGGCGCGACAGCGUGGGGAUCAAACAGGAUUAGAUACCCUUGUAGUCC